AUAUGAAUUCAGUCCAUCGCCAGAUUUUGGAUGGCCAUUUUGAUAACUAGCAGGAGUUGCAGAAUGCAUCGAAGAGCAUCCCAACAGGAUUUCUGUUGCUGAAUAUACAAGGAGCUGCAGAGGCUAAUCAAAACAGAGCUGUCAGACUCCACCGGAAACCAUCUAGACCUUCAUCCACAGGAAGGCUUUAUGAAAUAAUUUUCCCUUCAAAAUCUUCCUUUAGAGUUGAGGAAACCCACUAGCAGCACAAAUGAGGGGAUUUGGUUUUGACCAGGACCUGGACCUUAUUCUAAAGCACCUGACACAAUUGCCAGGGGAAGGCAUUCUCUGGCUUUCGAGAAGAAGGGCGUGGCUUCUGGUCCAAAAAAUAUGAUGGCAUUGUUUGCCAUUUUUCAUUGUCUUGAGGUCCGUGUCCUUUAUGCAGAUGCCAAAUGGGUGUGGCGUGAUGGUUAAAACUGCAGUGAUAUCUUUGACUGAUCGAAAUGGAGGUCUGGCAUCCCACAUCAGAAAUCUGAGUCCAAAUUUUACAUCUCCAGUGUGGACUGAGCCUCUCCAGGUGGCAGUGAUACUGCAGGACCAGUCUUUAUGGCUUCUGGUACCAGUGAGAUCUUGAGCCUCCUGCCCCUGACGAGGAAUGGACCAAAGGAUAAAAAGACUGGAAGCCUCAUGGGGGAUGGCAGAGCAAACUCUGCCAAGGGGUCCAGCCUGCUUUACUGGAAACUGCAACACGAGGAGCUGACUGGAAACACUUCACUGUCCUGUUAAUGUCAAGCUGGCAGUGAUGCUCAACCCUAGAGGAAAAAUUCAUCACUUAUGUCACUCCAACUGCACCUGUGGCUUCAUACCAUCACGUAUCCUGUUCUAAGCUUGACCUGGCCAGGGUUGUCCUUGCACUUGAUGAAAAGCACCACCAUACAGCAUCAUGAAAGCAGUUUCUCCCAGCACCAUCCUUCCAGCUGGCUGGAUACUGGGGCCAAGUGACUGCUGGGAUUCAGCACAGCUUUCCUGCAGAAAAAGUGAUUUGUACAAGUCUAUUCCCUUUCCUCGAUAUCAGAUCCAUGUAUGGCUUUUUACUGCAAAUCCCAUCUGGGGAAAUAGCCAAGUAACAGAAGAACAGUUGCUUCGGGAAAAGUCAUCCAUUUAAAAGCUUUCACUGAGGCAAGGAUAACUUCAUAGUUUUUACACUUUGUCUUCUGAUAAAAAAGAAGGAGACAGAGGGGAAGGGAAGAAAUGCUCUUAUUGUGCAGUUGCCACAUGAUGCAUACUUCAACAGGCCUUUACUCCUCACUGGUUUGGCAGCAGUAAGAAAACAAGGAAGGAUCCCACGUACUCUGGGAAAUGUCUAUGUUCUUAUGUUCCCUUUACCAGUGAGACUAGGAGACAGCAAUGGGUAUGGUGGCUUUUAGACAUGUUCCACAAGUUCUGGAUUUGGUUCUUCUCAGGAGAAUCUGUGCUUAAAAUCCCUGCGAUGCUUCAAGUCAAGUGGCACUUCACCCCAUGCUUUGCACACUGUCAUGCAGCUGAGGACUGACAAAUUCCAUCUUCCUCUGCCAAGGUGUCUGGUGAGGAAUUCUUCUCUUUGCUGAAACACAGGUGUUGACUGCUUAAGUCAGUACUAGAGGAAGAGGGAAAUCUCUCAAUGACUCUCUUGCUCCUUAUAAAAAUGUAGCUGGAAAUGUCACCCUAGGGGCGUGUUUCUUCCCUUAAGAUUAUUAAAGACUGGCCCUUAAAAGUACUACUGCUGUAGAUGAUGGAGAAAAAAGUUUACAAACAGCAGUGCUGCACUUGCUUGGCUUCUGCAUUUGUGAAACUGAUGUUCUAAACAUGGAAAAGAUCGUGCUCCGAUAGCUGUCAUUGCUCUGGUAUAACCUUAGCUGUUUGGAAAUGAGCUAAUUAAAUUUUUUGGUGUGUCUUUUAGAGAAUACAUUUGCAUUUGACAUAAUUAGUGGUACGCAGAUCCAGCUAUAUCCAGGGGGAAUCUCAAGACAACUGCUUUGCUGACUAUUAGUGCCUAAUUUCUGAAUGUCAAACCCUGCACAUCUUAAUUUCUAGAGAAUAAGCUCAAUUGAACUUUCUCCCAGUUAUGUAAAAACUGCUCAGAUAAAACCAAGUGGACACCAAUGUAAUGAAUGUGGUUAUUAAAUUGUUUCAACUGAAAGAACCCUAUUCUUACACCAUCAUAAUGGGAACAAUUUAUCCCCACUGAUCAGCCUGUCUCUUUUUUCUGAGCUCUCUUUGAUCUUGAAGCAUAUUGCAGUGGUGUGUCCUAUUGAAAAGCAAAACUGGGGCAAUUUUAAUGCUUUUGUACCUUACCAGUGCUCUAUUUUUUCGUUGUUUAAAAAUAGCUGUUAAUUAUAAGUGCAGUUUAAAUGUCUCAAGUGACCCAGAAAUGCAGGUUGGAAUGAGACAGAUUGUGUGUCUCGUAUAAAACAGAUGUACUUUCACAGAGCAGGCUGAAUUCAGCCCUCAAUAUGUAUCCUUCUCUAAGGUUAUUUCAGUCAGUUAUUGAGUUUGUCUAGCAUUAAGCUAUAAAAUCCCACACAUUUUGAACAAUGAAGACAAAACUUCAGCUAUAUUUACCUCAAAAAUAAAAAGCCACUUUUUCUGUGUGAGGUAUUUUGCUGGUAGUGUUUGAUGGGAUGGGGGCAUUUCCCUUUGACUCCAGAGACUCAGGAGACCAGAUACCUCAUUUAAUCUCCACCUCUUCUGUCUGUUGAUGUAAUAAGCCCAUGCUUUUAAAGAACGUUUAGUGGUAAUAAACUUUCAGGAGUUCUUCUUACUUUGACUGAAUUAAGUACUCUAUGAGAACGAGCCAUACCCUGCAGAUAUAAAAUUUCAAUCUUUUUCCUGUGUUUUGAGUGGUUGUAAGUAGUCUUUUUUUUUUUUCUCUGCUGCCAACAAUACAUUUUAAUUCCUGUCUGUGACGAGGUUCAUCAAGAGAAGUCUGAAAAAUAGCAUGCAAAUUAAAUUAAGAGACUACACAUCUGAGGGCCUUUGGAGUAGAUCCAGAGGAGUGGAGCAAGAACAAGGUCAGGGAAAUACGACCCAUGAAGAAACCCCAAACUGAGGCUGCUCAGCUCCUAGAAAUGAAGACUGCCAACAAGCAUGGUUAUGGUGUUCCCCUGCUGAAAAUCCUGGUAAAAAAGAGCAAAGAGAUUCAUCCUCUCCAAACAGAGAGAAUAGAAAAAUUAAUUAUAGGCUUGAGCUGCCGAAAGGUGGAAUCAGGCUGGAUGUAGCAGCUUUUUUUUCAGAGAUGGUUAUGGGAAGAUACCACAACUAUGACAGAGUAAGAUGUAAAGGGAGAUUAGACAGAAACAGUUUUUCUACUUUGGAGAUGCAUCUGAAGUGUUUACACACCCUUUGACUGUAUUUUCUCCUAACAACUUUCCUUUUCCCUUACCAGUAACUCAUUGCAUUUCUUCCUACUCUAACACUUCCAAAUAAAGGUUUAUUGCCUUCCAUAAAAGGUAUUUAUCAGUGUGGUGCUUCUUUCCUAUACUUCCACUUCCCUUUUGCAGUUUUAAUCUCUCAGUUGCAGCUAUCUAUGAAGAUGUAAUCAAUAAAUGAAAAUAAAUUGAAAAAAUACAAUGUGAGGAGGUGAAUUGGAUUUUUGGUGGCCUGCCAGUUGGUCUUUGGAUUUGUAUUUACAAGUCUCUCAUAAUCAGCUAUUUCCUGAUUUACAUCUUGUACUCAAACCCAAACUGAUGGUCUUAAACUUGGUGUCAAUGUUUUAGCAAUAGCUACGUGCAUAAGAGUUUUGUAGUUAUAACUGCUUUAUUUUAUAUUUUUCUGACAAGAAUAACAUUUUGCUUU